GAUGAGAGUAACUGUUCAUCCCUNGACGGUAUCUAACCAGAAAGCCACGGCUAACUACGUGCCAGCAGCCGCGGUAAUACGUAGGUGGCAAGCGUUGUCCGGAUUUAUUGGGCGUAAAGCGAGCGCAGGCGGUUUCUUAAGUCUGAUGUGAAAGCCCCCGGCUCAACCGGGGAGGGUCAUUGGAAACUGGGAGACUUGAGUGCAGAAGAGGAGAGUGGAAUUCCAUGUGUAGCGGUGAAAUGCGUAGAUAUAUGGAGGAACACCAGUGGCGAAGGCGGCUCUCUGGUCUGUAACUGACGCUGAGGCUCGAAAGCGUGGGGAGCAAACAGGAUUAGAUACCCUGGUAGUCCACGCCGUAAACGAUGAGUGCUAAGUGUUGGAGGGUUUCCGCCCUU
rnacentral:rRNA from 1 species